rnacentral:lncRNA from 1 species
UUUGAUUUUUUCCUCGUAUACCUAGUUUUUUCUCCGGUUUUCCGUGAAAACCGUCUGAACGGUCCCACCUUUUAUUGACUUACCAAGUAGAAAUAUGUCUUCUUUUGUAAACCAAUGAGUUCUUAUCAAAUAAAAUCCUAAAAUUUAUCUAGGUAGGUAAAUCACGGGCAAGAUUUGAUAAAACAUUUACUUACACAAUCACAUUAAUAUGGGUUCACAGCAACAUACUAUACUAUUUAUAUCCCACUGCAACGCACCGGCAAUUAUCUACUUAUAAAUAAAAGCAAAUUACUUGGUCAAGGAAGGAAGCAGCAAAACUAAAACAAUCCUAGUGAUGGUCCAACAUGAAGUUCAUACUAAUGAAAUAGCAUAACCACAACAUAACAGAUAUCUGCUAAAAUUACCUUAUAUCCUCGAAAGUUUAAGGUUAGAGUAUGUAUGUUUGUGGCACCAUCUAGAACCUGGCUUAAACUAAAGUCUUGGUGACAGAGAGUUGCAUCACCAUGGAUAGAUCUUGCGUGUGCGUCGAUUUUUUUUGUUUUCCAUGCAAUGUUCCCCAACAAUUAUUUCACUUUAUGAUGUUAUUCUAAUGUCUUUUCUCUCUUAGUUUGCAAGAUUUACAUGAAAAGUAAACUUGCCGGCAGCUGGAAUUCUGGACCUGAAAAAGCUACAACAGAGAUAGAUAUUCACCAUAAAAAGUACUGGAAGAAGAAUCACGAGGAGGGGCCCCACCAUUGAGCCACAAGCUUAGGUGGCGGCCCCCUAGGGUGCGCCACCUAGGCUUGUGGGCCCAUCAGCGGGCCUUCGUGGCCCCUCUUCUCCUAUAUGAUGCCAUUUACCUUAGAAAAAAAUCAAGAGAAGACUUUUGGGACGAAGCAUUACCGUCUUGAGCCGGAAUCUGGGCAGGAGCACUUUUGCUCUCCGCCGGAGCGAUUCCGCUGGGGAUACUCUCCUCCGGGAGGGGAAAAUCGAAGCCACCGACAUCACCAACGAUCCUCUCAUCGUGGGAGGAUAAAUCUUCAUCAACAUCUUCACCAGCACCAUCUCAUCUCAAACCCUAGUUCAUCUCUUAUAUUCAAUCUUUGUCCCAAAAAUCUCAGAUUGGUACACGUGGGUUUCUAGUAGUGUUGAUUACAACAUGUAGUUGAUGCUAGUUGGUUUAUUUGGUGGAAUAUCAUAUGUUCAGAUCCUUAAACAUAUACAAUACACCUCUGAUCUUGAACAUGAAUAUGAUUUGUGAGUAAUUACUUUUGUUCUUGAGGACAUGAAUACGAUCAUGCUCCAUUAUAUUCCAUGAUAGGCAUUUCUGUCGGAAAACAUUUACAUCCGGUAGGCCGGCCGAAACUUCGGUUGGUCGCAUGGACACGGUCCGAUCCCAUGAUGCGCUGCCAUUAGAUCCCACACCAUCCCUUUGUUUUUUCUUUUGUUUUUUGUUUUGGAAUAAAGCAUCGCAUCCCCAUUCAUGGCGUCUGCGGCCUUCGACCACCAUCUGCCGGGCGCAUCCGGCUGGAUCGCACAGUUCCUCGAAGCUGGUGUGCCACCCCUGCCGGAUCUCAUCCACCGGACAUCAUGGAGUCACCGGCCUCUCCUUCCCAUCAGCACGGGGGAGAUCCCCUUCCCGCCCCUCGCCUGUUUUUUCCUCCGACGAGCUGGACGUCGUCUCCCACGCACCCCCUCCACACCCUCUCAACCAGUGGUGAUGCAGUAGUCACCAUGGAUGUGCCAACACCACCUUCAACCCCCCGGCAGCGAGAUGUUACAACCCUUUGCGAGAGAUGGUACAAUCAGCUUGCAUGGAUGCUACGAUUGACUUUUUUUUUUGCUUCAUCCGACAGCUGGAGUUUGGUUGCUGAUUUUUUUGCUGCAACCAUGCUGGCUUUUUGCUACUACGAUGAUGGAAAUUUGCUACAUCCUCCGCGGUGAGUCGACCAAUGUGGUGGCGGCUGGACGCCGGGCUGCCGUGAUAAUGCUACAACUGGCUUCGAGAUUUGCUACAACUAGCAUCUUGAUUUGCUGGAACCUGCCACCAUGUCUGCUGUAACCAUUGUCGUAGUGCAGCGUUUUUGCCUCAACCAGCCAAGACAUUUGCUGGAACCGGCACACAAAAUUGCUGGAACAGGCUUCUCUCUUCUUGUCAACGCAACCAUGGUGACCAUGGCGGGGGACGACGUUUGCUUUUUUUUUUGCUGCAACCACACAUCACAAACCUACGACCGGCGUUGCGCCGUGCUCAAAUGGUGGCUUGCACCUUGGUUCCGUGCUACAAGCUACCAUGGAGCGGGAGCAAGGGGUGAGGAGGAGUUGUGGCAAUGGGGCCGGGGGUGAGCAAGGCGGUGCGGUGGCUGGGAGUGCAGGGUGUCCUAGGGGACGAGGGCGGCGUCAUGCAUGGCUGACGCCCGCCGGCACAAGGGGAAGGAAGAAGACGAGGAGGCAGAAAGAAGACGUCGCGAGGGAUCCAAUGGUACGGUUGCGUACGGCUGAAUCAAGCGGCUAGGGGCCGACGGACCGAAAUUUCGCCCAGCGCACCCGCUCCUAACAUCGCCCAUUUCUGUUUGUGUGCACCAUCUAAUACAUCAGUAUGCAACAGAAAAAAUGAUACACCGUACAAGGUUCAGACCAACUAAAAGAAUUAUACCAGCGCAUCAACAGAUUACACACAAACAACCAAGUGUAUUUUGGCCUGCCAACAAAAAACGGAGUCUAAAGGAGAUGUCAACUGAAUGAGACCAAACUAUAUCUCAUCUAGAUGAGUUGUAAGCACUCUCAUCAACAUUUAUACACCUUCGGUAUUUUUUAUAUAAAUGGACGCUAAAGAUUUUGACAAAAUUGAUACAAAGGGAAUUACUCUCCUACGAUUCUGUAAGUUCAGAAUAUAAUAAAACUGAAGUGAUCUCUUGUACUCUGCUUGCUAAUAAAUACAUGACCAGGUGGCUCGAGAGGGGUGUGUCGAACCACCACGGAAAAUUAUCUGUGCUGAGGACUGGCCGAUCUCUCUAAGUUGCUUGACUAUUGCCUCUUGUGUAUCCCUGUCCCUUGGAAAGAAGCCUCCUACAGGAGGAGGUAUAGGGAUCAUUGCCUCACAGCCCUUGCAUGGAUAUUGACCAUCUGUCAGAAGAACCGUCUUCAGGUCUGGAGCUCGACCCAUCACGGUACUUGCAAAUAACAAGUGAUGGUCCAGUAGGGGCCUAAAACCACCAAACUGGAACUCUUUCAGUUGCCACUUCUGACAGCUCGUGAACCCAGGAAUCUUCCAUGAAGGUUCCACUCUCUGAGCACCAAAACAUCUUAUUCUUUCUUCAUCACCCUCCAGGCAUGGAUGUUCAAACAUCUGCAUUCAACCGCCAAUACCAAAAUUAUAAGGGGUUAUGGUAGGAUGUUCAAACAUCUGCAUUCAACCACAGAUGUACAAUCAUAAAGAGACUACGAUGGUGUUUUGAGUCAGAUAGACUUGUAUACAUUCCAACUAGAAGUUUAAAAGAAUGAGUAGAAGUACCUCAACAUCAAAUGUCUCAACAGAUGGAGCAGCUUCAAUGAGAUUUAAUGUCCAUAACUGAUCAAAUUUUAUAAAGAUACCAUGAAUAAACAGCUUUCUUAGCUUGUUGAAUGCAGCGCAGAGUUGUUUUCUUUCUGGUUGCAUCCAGAUCUGAUGAACAAAACAAAUAAAGAAAAAGAUAAGUAUACAAUGAUUGUGCAUCUGUAUGUUAUAGAGGCAAGUUAUGCGUGCACCAGGUUAGUCAUUUGCCAAGUAAUGGGAUCCUUCCAGGCAAUUAUAAAUAUCUACUAUAUAUACUUAAAUAAAGAAGAAUAGUGUUCCUCUUUCGUACAACCAUGAGUUCCCCCUCUGUCUCUUCGCUUUGAUUUUUUCCUCGUAUAUCUAGUUUUUUCUCCGGUUUUCCGUGAAAACCGUCUGAACUGUCCCACCUUUUAUUGACUUACCAAGUAGAAAUAUGUCUUCUUUGGUAAACCAAUGAGUUCUUAUCAAAUAAAAUCCUAAAAUUUAUCUAGGUAGGUAAAUCACGGGCAAGAUUUGAUAAAACAUUUACUUACACAAUCAUAUUAAUAUGGGUUCACAGCAACAUACUAUAAUAUUUAUAUCCCACUGCAACGCACCGGCAAUUAUCUACUUAUAUAAUAAAAGCAAAUUACUUGGUCAAGGAAGGAAGCAGCAAAACUAAAACAAUCCUAGUGAUGGUCCAACAUGAAGUUCAUACUAAUGAAAUAGCAUAACCACAACAUAACAGAUAUCUGCUAGAAUUACCUUAUAUCCUCGAAAGUUUAAGGUUAGAGUAUGUAUGUUUGUGGCACCAUCUAGAACCUGGCUUAAACUAAAGUCUUGGUGACAGAGAGUUGCAUCACAGACAAGGGACAAUUCCUUGAGUGACGGGACAGAACCAAAACACAAGGGGGCCUCGUGAAACAACCAAGCCUGCCAACGGACCCGCUCUAGUUUUGGAAGGCAGAGCACCUCAGCUCUUUUCAAUGAGGACAAGUAGACUUCUAGAACUCUGAGAUUUGAAUGUGGCGCAUUGAUCUUCCAUACAGACAAGUCCCCGGUGUCACAGUGGUCCAGACGAAGGUGCAGCAAUUGCUUGCAACAAUCAAACAGGAGGUGAUUCAUGUCGCGUUCAGCGAAGCGAACAUUAUGUAGAUGGAGCCUUGUGAGGCAGCGAAGAACACUAGGGUACUCACUGAAAAAUCCAUCCACAUCCCGAGCUUGCCGUACCAUAACCUCGUUUUCAGAGUCCUUGACCGCCUUCUCUGUUAAAAUGGCGAGUUCCAAAUCUUUUAGCACCUCGCUGUCAAUGGCAUUGCUAACUAGCAGGCCAAUGUCACGCGAGUAGUUGCCCAUGAGAUAAAGCUUGAGGCAUAGUGUUGAGAUGGUGUGUUCCCUGCGGGGCUGAGCCAAGAAGCUGCUAGUGGCUCUUGUCAGAGACGCCAUUGCUUGAUCAGUGUGUGCAGCCCCUGUACAUGGGGCACUAAGGAAGUCCGUGACAUUAAGUUUGAGAUCAGGAAGUAACCACGGCAAGUUUCUCCACCGCGUUGACAACACGCUAGUCCUUGCUGCCAUGGCAAGGUCAACUCUCCCCAAGAUAGAGAUUAAAAUGUCAUCGCUCAACGCGCUGAGCCUAUCUUCCUCGCCUUUCUGCAACAAGAAUAUAUAUCAUCCAUGGAUACAGUCAGGUCAACAUGCAAAGAAUAGAAGGUUCUAAGCAUAAGUAAUCGUUGCAUCAUCUCUAGCAAGAACACUGCACUUUUGUGAUGUGUAAGAUCAUUUAUUUGGAACUUCAGAACAUAGGACAUACGAACAGUAGGCAGAGCAGCUAGCAAAGAAGAACUUACAUGGCGGCGCGCACUAUCUGACUCCAUGGAUAAUAACCUCCGAGUCCAGGGAGCCCUGAACAUCGCGCUCAUCUUUUAUGUCGGGAGCUCUGGUCUCUAUUUAUUCAGAGAGAACGAGAUGAUGACGAUGCUCUAAACCGGUCCGACCAGAAUCUGAAGUAGAGAAUCUCCGACUUCUGUUAGAUGAAACCGAAUAAUAACCUCCUCCGAGUCCAGUAUGCCUUCCAAAGCGCUCGUCUUUUAUUUCCGGAGCGCUCGUCUGUAUUUUUCAGACACAAGAGGAGACAGAAGUCGAGAAUCCCCGACUUUUCUCUCUCUCUCUCUAUCUCUCUGAGAUGAAACCGAAUCGUACAGACAACAGCCUGACGACCGCGUUGACACAAUGCUUUACGCUGGAGAAGACGGACUAUAAUUUACGAGUAUGUUCGACCGCAUGGUAAAUCCACAUCCACACGUUGUUAUUGCUGGUGGAGGAGGGGAUUGCAGCCUGCAAAAAGGAUCAUCUCACGGCCCACAAAAUCAACCACCCCGUCCGUCUUUCCAAAUCCCUGUAAACGGACGCUCUUCCACUCGAAUUGUUCUGCUAUCAACAACGGAUCCUGAAAAUCAGCUGCCUUGGAUAGAGUUGGGGAGGUUAACGAGCCCCUGAAAAUCAAGCCAAUCAAUCAGUCCGGCACAUCAGACCCUGCCUAGGACGCGAGGAGAGAAAGAGGGCAGCAGCCAAGCGACGGAGCGAGGGCCUCACCUUGUCCUUCUUCGAGGGCGGCGGCGUUCCGUCCGUGCCCGCUUGACGGCGGCUCGGGAUAACCCUAGACUAGGCGAGAUGCCAACCGCCCACCGCAGAGCAGGAGUUGUAUGUUUUUUUUUUCUUUGAGAAAUAGCAGGAGUUGUAUGUAGUGCUAUUGUCUUGGGCUAGAACGUGAGCCGCAACGGGCCUUCGUUUCGGACUAGAUCAUUUUUGGGCCUCCUGCGUUUGUGGCCCAGUUCAGCCUGGCUGAGUAAAAAUAGGUUUUGGGUCAAGUUCCGCACUGAGUUUGGCCGCGGCAUUCUAGGAUGCCUCACUGAAGCGGCUACAGUAAUCUGGCUGGUCCAUUUCGUGCACAGUUAAAGAAAAAGUGAAGGGAAAAGGAGAGCAUGAGGGCUCGAUCCCUGGAGUUAUUGUUCGUGUUAAGUAAAGGGGGUGAGACCUACCAUAUGACACAUCUAUAUCAAUAUAAAAAUACCCAAAGGGGUAGAUCCAAUUAAUCUCGUCCAUCAAAUCAUGUCAAUCCAACAACCUAAACCGCUUCAAUGUCGAGCGCUCUAUACGUUAAGCGUGCAGUUAAUUUCAUGCUAAAUAUAGUGAUAUCACAUAAUAACACGCAAAUAAUAUCCUACUUAAUAUCCACAUGCACUUAAUAUAUUUCCAAAUUAACGUGCAUUGCAUGUACACAUUGACUAGUGUGGUAAGCAAUACAAAUAUUCAAAAAAAGGAAGGCGAGCAUACUUGAAGUGAGUCAAGUCGGUUUUCUCAGGGUGUUUUUUUCUUUCUUUUCUUUUUUCUUCUCCGUUUUUUCAUUUUUUUUCUUUAGUUUUAUUCAUUUUAUUUUUCUUUAAUUUAUUUUGUUCUUUUUCGGUUUUCAUUUGUUUCCUUUCAUUCUCUUGGUUACCAUUCUGCAUUUUUUGUUUAUGCCAACAACAUUUUCCUAAUUCACAUUUAACAUUUUUUAAUAUAAAUAUAAUUUUCAUAAAUACAUGGUCAAUACUUUUAUACGCAUUUUUAACAUUUUUCAAAUACAAGAUUCUUUGUGUGUUAAUUUUUUUUGAAGACAUCAUCAACAUUUUUAAUACACACUUCUAAACUUUUUCAAAUUCUUGAUUGACAUUUUUAAAUACAAUAUUAACAUAUUCUAAAAGGGUCAACAUUUUUUAUAUGCAAAUUAACAUUUUUCAAAUUCUUGAUUAACAGUUUUUAAUGCAAUAUUACCAUUUUUUUAAACACACGGUCAACAUUGUUUUUAAAUUUUUUAACAUUUUUCUAAUUCUUGAUUAACAUGUUACAAAUGCUUGUUUAACAUUUUUAUAUACAUGAUAAAAGAUCAUCAUUUUUUAAUACAUGGUAAACAAGUCCUAUAUAAAUUUAACAUUUUUUCAAAUGCUUUAUUAACAUUUUUCAAAUACUUGUUUAACAUUUUUUUCAAAUCCUUGAUUAAUAUUUUUAUAUAUAUGAUUAAUAUUUUUGGUAUUUUUUUAAUAGAUGGUCAACGUUUUCUCGAGACAUGUUAACAUUUUUCAAAUGCUUGAUUAACUUUUUUCAAAAACAUGUUCAACAUUUAUUUUAAAUGCCUGAUUAAUUUUUUUUAAAUACAAGAUCUUCUUUUCGGACACAUAGUUUUUUAUACAUUUUUCAUAUACAUAUAAACAUUUUCUCUAUUCACAUUUAACUCUUUUCUAAUGCUUGGCUAAUAUUUGUUUUAUUUUUUAAUAUAUAUAUAUAUAUAUGUAUAAAAACAUAAUAUAAUAUAAACAAAUUAAAAAAAUAAAGCAGAAGCGAACACAUAAAACGUAUAAAGAAGAAGAAAAAAAUGGCCUCUCGCGCGCCUGGGCUUGCCCAAUUCGCCCUCCCCUUCAGCGAGGGUUUUCCCUAGGCAAAGAAUUUGGUUGCCCGCGGGCGCCCCUAUUUGUCGCCUUACGCGAGCGCAGGGGGACCCUUGCGUCGGGGAGGUGCCCCAGAUGGGCCGGCCCGUGAGGUUUUUAUACAGCGUAAAUGCAUUAAUCCGAAAAACUAAAAUCAGCGUAAAUGCAUUAAUCCGAAAAACUAAAAACCCUGUUUCCAGGAUUCGAACCCUGGUCACCUCGUUAAGUGAUGCUGCUACUAGCCAUCCCAACUACUAAUUAGUACAUUUUUUGGCAAUAGAUCAGGGUAACAUGAACUAUGUUGGCUGUAGAAUAUUCACUUCAUGAACUAUUUUUUCAUCCAUGCAAAGAAUUUGUACUUUUCUUUAUAAUUUAAAAAUAUUAUAUCUACACAGACACACCGACAUAUGUGUGUGUGUGUUUGUUUAUUACAAAAAAAACACUCCUCGAAAACACAUUUGAAAAAUGUGGAACAAGUAUUUAAAAAAAUGUUGAACAAGUAUUUGUAAAAUGUUGAACAAGUAUUUAAAAAUGUUGAAUAAGUACUAAAAUUUUUGAACAUGUGUUUGAAAAUUUUCAAUAAGUAUUAAUAAAUGUUGAACGAGUAAUUGAAAAAUGUUGAACAUGUAUAUGAAAAAUGUUGAGGAAAGAUUUGAAAAAUGUUGAAUAGGUAUUAAAAUAUGUUGAACGAAUAUAUGAAAAAUGUUUGAACAAGUAUUUGAAAACGUUGAACAAGAAUUUGAUAAAACAUGAACAAGUGUUUAAAAAUGUUGAAUAAGUAUUAAAAAUGCUGAAUAAAUAUUUGGUUUUUUAAAUAGGUAUUGACAUUUUUUCAACGAGUAUACGAAAUAUGUUGAAUGAGCAUUUGAAAUGUUGAAUAAGUAUUAAAAAUGUUGAACAACAAUUUUAAAAAAUAUUGAAUAACUAUUAAAAUGUUGAACAAAUAUUUAAAAAAUAUUGAAUAAGCGUUCGGACAAUGUUGAACGUGUAUACGAAAAAUGUUUUUGACAUGUACAAAAAUGUAGAGUGAAAGGAAAACAAACAUAAGAAAACACAAAAGAAAAAUAAAAAAUGGAUAAGAAAAAGGAAAACCCAAAACAAAAGAAAACCAAACAAGAAAUGGAGNNNNNNNNNNNNNNNNNNNNNNNNNNNNNNNNNNNNNNNNNNNNNNNNNNNNNNNNNNNNNNNNNNNNNNNNNNNNNNNNNNNNNNNNNNNNNNNNNNNNNNNNNNNNNNNNNNNNNNNNNNNNNNNNNNNNNNNNNNNNNNNNNNNNNNNNNNNNNNNNNNNNNNNNNNNNNNNNNNNNNNNNNNNNNNNNNNNNNNNNNNNNNNNNNNNNNNNNNNNNNNNNNNNNNNNNNNNNNNNNNNNNNNNNNNNNNNNNNNNNNNNNNNNNNNNNNNNNNNNNNNNNNNNNNNNNNNNNNNNNNNNNNNNNNNNNNNNNNNNNNNNNNNNNNNNNNNNNNNNNNNNNNNNNNNNNNNNNNNNNNNNNNNNNNNNNNNNNNNNNNNNNNNNNNNNNNNNNNNNNNNNNNNNNNNNNCAAGAAAUGGAGAAGAACAAAGAAAAGAAAGAAAAAUUGGAGAAGAAAAAAAGAAAGGAAACAAAAGAAAAUGAAAAAGAAUUUAACAAAUCUGAGAAGAAAGAAUUGGAAAAAGAUGGAGAAGAAAAAAUGAAACAAAAACAGAAAAAAGGAAAAACUUUGGAAGAAACAAAUGUAGAAAGAAUUUAAAAAAAUGAAAACUGAACUAAACCGGAGAAGAAUAAUAAAAGAAACAAAAUAAAACGAGACAAGCAAUUAAAACUGAAGAAAAAAAAUACAAAAAACUAUGAAAACAAUUGGAGAAGAAAAACGAAAAUGAAAAAUAAUUGGAAAAAGGAAGAAAAACUGAAUAACAUAGAAGAAAAUGGAGAAAGAAAAGAAAAAUAGGGCACGCCCACAUAUUUUAUAUCUUAAGUACAACGCGCCCAGUUAGUUUAACAUAAUCAUGAGUGUAGUCUAGUGGCUACAGGCUAGCCCAAUACAACGCGAGCGUGGAAAACCUUCAGAGCGAGCGUUGCCACUUCGAUCGCUUAAUGCGAUAAAUAGCUCUCGCAGAGUAGAAACAAAGACACAACUGUUUGGUUGCAUGUCUCUGCCCUUCAGAUGCAAUGUUCGAUUGUUUGGUUAUGUGCGCAUGAAUGGUUUAUCUCACCUCAUGUUCACGUAGUAACUUAUCUCACAUCAUUAUACUUGAAGAACUUUGUCUAUGAGUCGUAAUAAAAAACUUAUAACAUGUGAGUGGUAUGGAACAAAGAGAUGAACAUAAUGGUCAAAGGAAAAUUCAAACGAUCGACUAUGUACGGUGAAUUUGACAAAGUAGAUGAUCAAGAGGGUAGGCGGGAGAGAGGUUGAACAAAAACAUGUUCACACAACACUCACACGUGAACACGUUAUAGGACAGUUACAAUAGGAAGAUAUAGAUCUAUCCAUCUACGAGCGUCGAAACAGAAAACUUACAACACAAAAGUUGUGUGAAAAAGUGAGUACAUGAGGUGCAGCUUCACUACUAUUGGGCACGAGGAGCCGGAGGUUAGCCUUGCUGGGCAUGUGGACCUCAGAAGGACAUCUUUCAAUAUUUAGGUCAAUGCUGCAAAAGGAUGGUUGUAUCAACGAAGAUGUGAACGAUCGAACCAAACUUGGAUGGAUGAAGUGGCGCGAAGCUACUAGAGUCCUUUGUGACAAGAGAGUGUCACCGGAGUUAAAAGGCGGGUUCUAUAGGACGGCGAUUCGACAUGCAAUAUUGUAUGACGCAGAAUGUUGGCCAACUAAAAGUGACAUGUCCAACCGUUGGGUGUAGCAGAUAUGUGUAUAUUGAAAUGUAUACGUGACCACACAAGAAAGGAUCGGGACUGGAAUGAUGAUAUAUGUGACAGAGUUGGGAUAGCACCGAUUGAAGAGAAACAUGUCUCAUAUAGUCUGAGAUGGUUUAUGCAUAUACAACGAAGACCUCCAGAAGCGUCAAUGCAUAGCGGACAAAUAAAUUACUGCCGAUAAUGUCAAGAAAGGUCAAUGUAGAUCAAAUUUGACAUGGGAGAAGUAUGUAAAAAGGGUUUUAAGGAUUCGAAUAUCACCAAAGAACUAGUCAUAGAUAGGGGUGCGUGGAAGUUAUCUAUCCACCUGCCAGAACCCUGACUUGGUUUUGAGAUAUAAUUAACAAAAUAAACAAAGAAAUUGUAAGAAUGGGAUAAUUGUACAUUUGUAUGUAUGUAGGGGGCAAGUUAUUUGUGCACCAGGUUAGUCAUUUCCUAAGUAAUGGGAUGCUUCCUGGUAAUUACAAAUUGUAAAUAAAAGCAAAUAGCUUGGUCCUAUAUCAAUCCGAAGUCCUGGUCCAGUUUAAAUUUCAUACUUACUAAUGGAAUAGCGCAACCACAAUAUAACAACUAUCUGCUGAAAUUACCUUUUCUCCCCAAAGUUUAUGGUUAGACCGUUAGAGCAUGUAUGUCUAUGGUACAAUGUAGAACCUGGCUUAAAAUAAAGUCUCGGUGAAAGAUCAUUUACUUAUAAUUUCAAUCUAUAUAUAGGAUAGCUGAAGCUGAACAGUAGGUCCAAGGCGGAUCAAAAAGAGAAGCUAGUGAAGAACUUACAUGGCGGCGCACAUUAUCUGACUCCAUGGAUAAUACCCUUUGGGUCCAGGGAGCCCUGAACAAGGCGCUCAUCUUUUAUUUCUUCGUCUGUAUUGAUUCAGAGAAGAGGAUGAGACAAUGGCGAUGAUCCAAACCAGUCUGACCAGAGCCGGAAGCAGAGAAUCGCCGACUUCUCUCCCUGAGAUGAAACCGAGUCAUAGAAACAACAGCCUGACGACCGCGUUGACACAAGAGAGGGCCUCACCUUCGUGCAUGCUGGACGGCAGCUCAGCAUAACCCUAGGCUGGGCAGAUCUCUUUUUGGAAAAAAGCAAAAUUUAUUUUAUUUUUAGAUAAAUAAACAUAUAAGAUCAUGGGUCGAGUAGAGAGUUUUCAAAAGAAAGCCCUAGACUCCUCCUUCCUUACUCCAAGCCUCGCCGCCGCCUCUUCUAACCCACACUCCAAGCCCUAGAUUUGCCUCAUCUAUUAAUUAACAUGUGAAAGACAAGGUAAACAUAAAAUACAUACUCUCCAGGCGUUUACAUUUCAGGAGACAACACAACCGUCGUGAUAUAUUGUACUCUUCUAGCUAAUAAAUACAUGACUGGGCUGCCCGAGAGUGGUAUGUUGAACCACUACGGAAAAUUAUUUGUGCCAACGACCGGACCCUCUCCCUAAGUUGCUUGGCUAUUGCUUCUUGCCCAUCCCUGUAUGUUGGGAAGAAUCCCCCUAUCGGAGGAGGUAUUGGAACCAUUGCGUCACAGUCCUUGCAUGGAUAUUUACCAUCUGUUAGAAGAACCGUCUUCAAGUCCGGAGCUCGACCCAUUAUGGUACUUACAAAUAAAAAGUGUUGCUCCAGUAGGGGCCUAAAACCAGCAACUGAAACUCUUUCAAUUGCCACUUGUUAUAGCUCGUGAACCCAGGCAUCUUCCAUGAAGGUUUCACUCUCUGAGCACCAUAACUUAUUCUUGUUUUAUUACUCUCCCAGCAUGGAUGUUCAAACAUCUGCAUUCAACCACCAACAUCGAAAUUGUGAUGGGUAUAGUAGGACUCCCAACAAAGCAUGUUCUGCACACUAUGGUGGUGUUCUUAAAUUGAGUCAGAAACAGAUAGAUCUACGUAUUCAAAAUAAGAGUUGAAAAGGACGAGUUCCAACUAAAAGUUGAAAACAAUGAGUAGAAGUACCUCAACGUCAAAUAUCACAACAGAUGGAGGAGCUUCAAGGAGAUUUAAUGUCCAUAACAAAUCAAAUUUAAUAAAGAUGCCAUGAAUAGACAGCUUCCUUAGCUUGUUGAAUGCAGUGCAGAGUUGUUUUCCUUCUGGUUCCAUCCAGAGCUGAUGAACAAAGCAAAUAAACAAAAUAAAAGCAGACUUGUUGAAUGCAGUAAUGAGAUGCUUCCUGGCAUUUAUAAAUUAUAAAUAAAAGCAAAUAACUUGGUCAAGGAAUGAACCAGCAAACUAGAACAGUCCUAGUUCUGGCCCAACUUAAAGUUCAUAUACUUAUACUAAUGAAAUAGCAGUCACAACAUAAAAACACUUUGCUGAAAUUACCUUUUCUCCUUGAAAGUUUAAGGUUAGAGCAUUUGUGUUUGUUGCACCAUGCAGAAUCUGGCUUAAACUAAAGUCUAGGUGACGGAGAGUCGCAUUAGAGACAAGGGACAAUUCCUUGAGUGACGGGACAUAACCAAAACUCAAGGGGGCCUCGCAAGAGAACCAAGACUGCCAGAGGACCCGCUCAAGUUUUGGAAGGCAGAGCACCUC